ACUGACAGAGCCAAGCGAGUUUUUUCCCCUUGGCCGGAAGGUCUGGGUAAUCUUGUGAAACUCUGUCGUGCUGGGGAUAGAGCAUUGCAAUUAUUGCUCUUCAAC
rnacentral:ncRNA from 1 species